rnacentral:rRNA from 1 species
CCUUCCUCCUAAAAUCAAUGAAACUGAUCCCCUCGUGAAGAAGCGAGGAUGCGGAUAUAAGACGAGAAGACCCCAUGGAGCUUUAAACUAACUUCAAUUGCUCCUAAUCUUAUCAUAUAAAAUGAGCACUAAUAAAGGAUGUUUUCGGUUGGGGUGACCACGGAGUAAAACAAAACCUCCAUAGUGAAUGUAAUAAAUACUAACAAAAGAACUACAAUUCUAAUAAUCAAAAAAUUGACGCACUUGACCCAAAUAUUUGAUCAAUGAACCAAGUUACCCUGGGGAUAACAGCGCAAUCCAUUUUAAGAGCCCCUAUCGACAAAUGGGUUUACGACCUCGAUGUUGGAUCAGGGUAUCCUAGUGGUGCAGCCGCUACUAAUGGUUCGUUUGUUCAACGAUUAAAACCCUACGUGAUCUGAGUUCAGACCGG